rnacentral:rRNA from 1 species
GUAGGCCUACGGGAGGCAGCAGCGAGGAAUAUUGGUCAAUGGGCGAGAGCCUGAACCAGCCAAGUCGCGUGAAGGAUGACGGCCCUACGGGUUGUAAACUUCCUUUGUCAGGGAGCAAUUGGGUCCACGCGUGGGCUUAGCGAGAGUACCCGAAGAAAAAGCAUCGGCUAACUCCGUGCCAGCAGCCGCGGUAAUACGGAGGAUGCGAGCGUUAUCCGGAUUUAUUGGGUUUAAAGGGUGCGCAGGCGGAGGUGCAAGUCAGUGGUCAAAUUGCGGGGCUCAACCCCGUACUGCCGUUGAAACUG